CCUUACUAAGUCCUGACUUCAUGCGUGAGGGAGUGAUUAGCAGCAUCGCUGGGUAGGAACUAAAUGGUCCUGAGGACCUAGAGAAAGGAGAGAUUAAGUCAUUGUAAAUCAGCCAAGGUAGCACAAGAAGACAAAGUGUUUGAAAUGGCCCUUGCAGGCUGAGGAGGAUCUUGCCAGGCACUUAGAGAGGAGAAGCUCACCCCGGGUCGGUGCAGUGGCAGGAGCAAUUCUGUUUGUGGUGGUGGUGCUUCUGUCAGAUGACUAUUGUGCUUUAAGCACAUCUGCCUUCUUUCCCCUCAGACAGCUAGGACCUGCCACGCAUCUGUUUCUGCUGUUACUCCUGGAACGCCAGCUUCCUCGGGACCCACUGGGCCACUCAGGGUGACAGCCACAUAUUGCUAAUCCUUCCUGAGGACUUUCAGCGAGAGGAAAAUGUCAACGAGGAGAUCGUCAUUUGGGGAAGAAGUGAAAACCACACAAGGAAAAGAAACUGAAAAGACGUGGAGCUAAAGAAGAGAAUCAGUCAUUAUAAACUCCCCUGGCCAAAGGCCAGUGUUGCAUAAAAACGGGUGAAGGCCCAAGAGAACAAAGAAUGACCUCCUCGAACAAAAUGGAAUUCUGCUAGCAGAACACUUUUGGGCUCGGACUGCAACUCUUCCCCAGAUCUCCAGUUGCCCACCUACUCUUCACACUUUGUACUUGGAACCCCACAAUUGCAUAAGCCAAUUCCUUAAAAUAAAACUGUCUUUGUACACA